CUGUUGCAUUAGAGUUUUGUUAUGCAUUUUUGUUUCUUCUCAGGAGAAAAGGUUUUGGAAGACCAUCAUUCCUCCAUGUCAAAUUUGAAAAUAUUGUUCCCAAAUUGACUCCUUGCUAGCUUGAGUAGCCAAAAUCUGAGUCACAUGAAGAAGAAAUGAAUAACACCGGUAAUGAUAAUGAUAAUGAUGAUGAUGAUAUCAAUGAUGGAAUAUGGAGGAGGCAAGAGAAGACUGGUUUAGAAACAAGCUUUAAACAUGCGUGCAGUUCCGUGGCACUAAGGACUGAGGUGCAACCAUCACCACUAUCCAUGUCCACAGCCCUUUCAUCUUGCAAAACUGAAAGUCUGCACCAAGCAAGACAGCCUCCUGAAAACCAGGCACAUAUCUCAUGUGAUAACGCGAAGAAUGAUGUUUUUCUUAAAAGAAUCAUGGAAAUCUGUUUUCUCUGUUUUAUAAUGAAAUUUCACCAUGGCUUUCUCUUUAGUGCUCUCUGAAGUCAUUGCUAUAUUGCUCUUUGAGGAGAAGAAGGUAAUUCUGAAUCCUAGUAACACUAUAAGCACAUAUUAGGACUGCAAACUUAAACUCCAGAACUAAUAGACUGAUAAAAGGUAGGCCCAUGACAUAGAGAGAAAAGAGAAAUAGUAAAGAAAGAGCCCAAUUAUUGUCCAGAAAAUACACCUGGGAAACAAGUCUUAAAAAUUAGUUAAGGCUUCGUAUGUGUCUGUACCUGUUUGUUUCUAUUCAACUUGCCUUUAUUGACAACUUAUCAUGUGUCAGGCACUCUUAUUCAUGCUGGUAAUGUAAACAUAAGUAAGU
rnacentral:lncRNA from 1 species